rnacentral:lncRNA from 1 species
CUGCUCAGGAACGUUUUUUCCAAUCAAGGUCUCGCUGCUUUCUUCCCCUCUGAUGGUGAGGAAAUGUUAAGUGAGAGCUUUCACAGCAGAGUUAAUGCUGUUAAUAGCUCAGCUAUUUCAUCCUUGAAUUCCUUUGGAGCUCUGGAAUGAGAAGCAGCCGGCACUAGCCGAGUGUUACCGUUUAUUUUGUCAGGUUGUUUUAUAACUUCAUCCACCGAGACAGCACUUGGAGCCACAUUUUCUGACUCGUCCUCCAUCAAGGUUUCCAGACUGAGGAUUCCUGGAAACUCCUUUUUCCUAGAAACCUGCAGUGCACAGGAGCCAGCAGUGCCUCUGGAAGAGGAAACCUCAGGGAAACACCUUGCAUGAGGAAUGAGGAUCGUGAAGGGUCAGGUACAAUUCCCUCUUGCUGCCUUUGUCUCCAGGCAGGAUUGGGCUGGGGUAAAGCAGCCUCUGUCCAGCAGGAGCAG